AACUUUGUGCAGUGGCAGUAUUGUAGCUAAUGAGGUUUAUCUGAAGUGCAAUAAUUAUUAAUUGAAAACUUUUCCCUAAAAAA
rnacentral:snRNA from 1 species